rnacentral:rRNA from 1 species
UACGGAGGGUGCGAGCGUUGUCCGGAAUCACUGGGCGUAAAGGGCGCGUAGGCGGCCUGAUAAGUCGGGGGUGAAAUCCUGCGGCUUAACCGCAGGGCUGCCUUCUAAACUGUCAGGCUAGAGCACAGUAGAGGCAGGUGGAAUUCCCGGUGUAGCGGUGGAAUGCGUAGAGAUCGGGAAGAACAUCAGUGGCGAAGGCGGCCUGCUGGGCUGUUGCUGACGCUGAGGCGCGAAAGCUAGGGGAGCAAACGGG